rnacentral:rRNA from 1 species
CCUACGGGUGGCAGCAGUGAGGAAUAUUGGUCAAUGGACGAGAGUCUGAACCAGCCAAGUAGCGUGAAGGAUGACUGCCCUAUGGGUUGUAAACUUCUUUUAUAUGGGAAUAAAACGCUCCACGUGUGGGAUUUUGUAUGUACCAUAUGAAUAAGGAUCGGCUAACUCCGUGCCAGCAGCCGCGGUAAUACGGAGGAUCCGAGCGUUAUCCGGAUUUAUUGGGUUUAAAGGGAGCGUAGGUGGAUUGUUAAGUCAGUUGUGAAAGUUUGCGGCUCAACCGUAAAAUUGCAGUUGAGACUGGCAGUCUUGAGUACAGUAGAGGUGGGCGGAAUUCGUGGUGUAGCGGUGAAAUGCUUAGAUAUCACGAAGAACUCCGAUUGCGAAGGCAGUUCACUGGACUGCAACUGACACUGAGGCUCGAAAGUGUGGGUAUCAAACAGGAUUAGAUACCCUUGUAGUC